rnacentral:rRNA from 1 species
AACGAACGCUGGCGGCAUGCCUAACACAUGCAAGUCGAACGAGAUCUUCGGGUCUAGUGGCGCACGGGUGCGUAACGCGUGGGAAUCUGCCCUUUGGUUCGGAAUAACAGUUGGAAACGACUGCUAAUACCGGAUGAUGACGAAAGUCCAAAGAUUUAUCGCCAGAGGAUGAGCCCGCGUAGGAUUAGCUAGUUGGUGUGGUAAAGGCGCACCAAGGCGACGAUCCUUAGCUGGUCUGAGAGGAUGAUCAGCCACACUGGGACUGAGACACGGCCCAGACUCCUACGGGAGGCAGCAGUGGGGAAUAUUGGACAAUGGGCGAAAGCCUGAUCCAGCAAUGCCGCGUGAGUGAUGAAGGCCUUAGGGCUGUAAAGCUCUUUUACCCGGGAUGAUAAUGACAGUACCGGGAGAAUAAGCUCCGGCUAACUCUGUGCCAGCAGCCGCCGUAA